GGACCGAUCAAUCCAAACUGAAUCACUCAUCUCCGGAAAACCAAUGGACGCAAGCUCAUGCGCCGCAGUUACUUUCUUAGUGAGUGAGUAAUUUACUGCUAAUCCUGGCAACAAAGGUUAAACAUCGCUUUCCAUGUUCAUCACACUUUCUCCUUUCCCAGAGACUCAGUGCCAUACAAAGUCCAGAACCGGAUAUUUUCCACAGAAUGAUUCUCAUACGACGUGUCGUUAAUUAACACCAUCAGAAAAUCGAAGGCAGUGCCGCAGUGGUCACGGACCACACAACAUGUGUACAUGCCACACAUCUCAACUUCUUGUCUUUUGUGGCACAAACACUCAGACUUUUAGAGAGAGAGAGAGAGAGAGAGAGAGUGUGUGUGUGUGAGAGAGGAGAGAGAGGCUCAUGGCUGCCAUCUGCGGUCGAGUCCAUCUUUCGCCAAAUCAUGGAUUCAAUCUCAACAAAUCAGGUGAUAAACAUUGUUUUCAUAGACAAAGUCCAAAUCGGAGCAUCUUGAUGACAGCAUCGGCCACCAGGCUUGGCACAGGUGGUGGGGUGUUAGACAAGCCAACCAUAGAGAAAACAACUCCUAGGCGUGACUCUGAGUUUGACGUGAGAUAAAUAAAGGUUGUACCACGGACGACUAGUGUCGGAACGAGUAGACGACGAUGAUUAUGAGGACGUGUGACUGUGAGUGUCUUACGAUUUCUGAGGGAUUUGAAUUGGAUUUGCCUGUCUUCUCAAAUUGUUGACUUUUUUACUUCCAAAUUCCUGUUGCUUAUGAAAACUUUGGCGCCACUCUUACAGGCUGGUUUUAUUGGGAAAAUGAACUUUACACACUUAAUUUCUGUUUAUUUUUUAACCUUGAUUUUACUCUUCAUUCUUAAUAAUUUUGGAUUGCAAUGAA